rnacentral:rRNA from 1 species
AGAGUUUGAUCAUGGCUCAGAGCGAACGCUGGCGGCAGGCUUAACACAUGCAAGUCGAACGGGCCCUUCGGGGUCAGUGGCAGACGGGUGAGUAACACGUGGGAACGUGCCCUUCGGUUCGGAACAACUCAGGGAAACUUGAGCUAAUACCGGAUACGCCCUUCGGGGGAAAGAUUUAUCGCUGAAGGAUCGGCCCGCGUCUGAUUAGCUAGUUGGUGAGGUAAUGGCUCACCAAGGCGACGAUCAGUAGCUGGUCUGAGAGGAUGAUCAGCCACACUGGGACUGAGACACGGCCCAGACUCCUACGGGAGGCAGCAGUGGGGAAUAUUGGACAAUGGGCGCAAGCCUGAUCCAGCCAUGCCGCGUGAGUGAUGAAGGCCUUAGGGUUGUAAAGCUCUUUCGUCCGGGACGAUAAUGACGGUACCGGAAGAAGAAGCCCCGGCUAACUUCGUGCCAGCAGCCGCGGUAAUACGAAGGGGGCUAGCGUUGCUCGGAAUCACUGGGCGUAAAGGGCGCGUAGGCGGCCAUUCAAGUCAGAGGUGAAAGCCCAAGGCUCAACCUUGGAAUUGCCUUUGAUACUGUUUGGCUUGAGACCGGAAGAGGUAAGUGGAACUGCGAGUGUAGAGGUGAAAUUCGUAGAUAUUCGCAAGAACACCAGUGGCGAAGGCGGCUUACUGGUCCGGUUCUGACGCUGAGGCGCGAAAGCGUGGGGAGCAAACAGGAUUAGAUACCCUUGUAGUCC